AAAGACAGAAAACAAUAACCAUUUCCAAUCUGAUCCAAGACCACAAGAUUGUUUUUAAUUCCAUUCAUCAGUAUCUCAUUCACCCCAAGAGACUAUGGGAUGUUUCCAUAUUCACAUAAUGGGCUCAUCAUUUUAAGCUCCGUAGGGCCCUCUUUGACAUGGUGACAAUUAUGUUUCCCUGUGUGCUUCCAAGUUUACUGUAAAGGCCAACAAGGUCUCAGACACCCAGAAAACAUACUUUUUAAGUUUUUAUAAAGUCUAUAAAAUUGUAAUUGGAUCAAACUUUGCAUUCAAAAGCACAUUCUUCAGGAAUAUUUUAUAUGCACAUAAAACAUAGAGAAAAUGUUAACAUUAUGAUCUUAACUGUUUGCACAUUGGAACCGGCUAAAAGUAGGAAAAUGCAAUCCAUCUGUUCUCUCCUUUGAAACUAGAUGAUUCUGAGAGCACAAAAGAAUGCCUCAGGGGAGUUUGACACUGCCUUCUCCCAACUCCUGUUAUCAAGUGAAGUGGGGAAGGAAGGGUGGUCUCACUGGAAGUAACUUCUUUGCCAUCUCUCUCUACACACAAGGUGUGGCCAGUCCAGGAGCCUUGGCUGUGAGGGCGAAUCCUCCACCAGAUUGGGCAGAGAAAGGGAUGGUCCUGUGGUCCCCAUGGCCCAGGCUGUGGCCUCGAGUGCCUGGAGCACUGCUGGGAGUCAUUUCACCUGUCCUGGCUCCCAGCACCAGCCUUGUUCUUGAGGGGUGUGGGGAUGGGGAAAUCAGGUUUUGCUAUGGUGCUUAAGGCUUGUUUGUUCAAGACUAUCCAUUAGGCGUUUAUUAGCCUUCAUUAUGGAGUGCUAGCAGCCUAAUUAGUUCAAGCUGAGUGGGGGGCAGCAGAGGGAAAGGGGAAAUGAGGGAAAAACAUGAUCAACAGCUGACAUUUGCUUUCCCAGGGAACCCUGUCGCUCCGCUCCCUUGUUUUAUCUGUUAGCACAGCAAAUUAGACCCCUUAUUAUCACAUUUGCAAAGUGCUUGGCGCACAAGAGAGAAAAAACCUGGAAAGGGAAAGAAUUAAAGAGCCGAGCAUGUUGAGAAGAGAGGUUGCCCUCCUCCAAGGACACCUUUCUCCCUAGAGAACCAAGCCCAUUUCCCCAACUGCACUCCCGUACCUCUUGGGAUCUGCCCCUCAGGACCAAGCCAAAUGCAAAGAGGAGAUUCCCUUGGAGUCUUGGGUGGGAAGGAUUACACAGUAUCGAGAAACUGUCCUGGGAAAGCCACCAGAUCCCAGUCAUCCCCAUCUUCCCCUGGAGGAAAUUCCACAGUCAGAGAAAUUCUUAGACAGGAGUUUUGACUGAAGUCAGUGCAACACAAGAGCACAGAGGAUGUUCUCCGUCAUUGAUAAAACUAGAGCAGUUCUCAGUUUUCAUUAUGCAUGAGUCACCUUGGAUACCUGUUAAAAUGCAGACUCCUGGGCCCCAUCCCGGAUCCAAUUGUCUCUGAAAGUGGUGCCCAGGGAUCUGCAAUUUAACAACACCCAUAGGUAUCUUAUGAAUGACACAUUAAGAAAGGGUGCUGCGGAAUAAAUUGCUUGAUAAAUAUUUCAUUCACCAUACAGCGUCUACAGAGUUCCUACCGUGAAGAAGAUACAGAGAAGUACUUAGGUGUAAGGGGCUGAAAUGGGGUGGAGCCCUAGAGGAGAGGAGAUCAGGGAACUUAGAAACCCGCGGGUCGGAGGAUCACCAAGCUCACAGUUUACCAGAAGGGUCAAUCAAGGAAACAUAUAGUCACCACACCAGCCGCAGUGUCACCAGCCCCGGUGCCACAUCAGUGCAAGGUGGGGGGCAUGGAAGCAUGUGGGGUGGGUCUGUGAUCCCAUCUUAGAGGACAGGGAAGUUUCCCCAGAAAAGAUAACAUCUAAAGUGGGAACUGAAGAGAGAAGUUGGUCAAGAAAGGGAGUCCUGUGGAUAAAGAUUCUAGGCAGAAUGUAUAACUCGUGCAUAGCUCCAGAAGGGAGAGACCGGCCAGUGAAUCUGGGUCUUGAAAAUGGCUCAGAGCCCAGGAGUUCAAGGCUGCAGUGAUCUGUGACUACACCACUGCACUCCAGCCUGGGCAACAGAGCGAGACCCCGACUCAAAAAAAAAAAAAAAAAAAAAAAAAAACCUGAAUGGAACCUAAAAUGGCAAAGUACUUACAUUAUUAAAAUAAAUGAAUUCAACGACAACAAAAAAGAGAAUGGCUCAGAAUUGUUGAGCAGUAGCGUGUAAAGACGGGGUUGUGGGAAAUGGAGCUGACGCUUGCCACAGCUAUUCGGAGUGGGGGUCUUCCUAAGGGAAGGCAGGAAGGCCCUGCGGUGCGGAAAGAUCAUGGUGGCUAUGAUUUGAAGAAUUAGUUUAAGAAGAGCAAGACUGGAAACACGGAGAACAAUUCGGAGGUUGUUCUCUGCCUCUUGAACACUUUCGGAAGUCGACGUGGUAGAAUCGCUUCAGGCCAGGAGGUUGUGGUCAUGCCUCUCCCCAAGCUCCAGUGAGGUCUGUGCCGGAAGCCCCGAAGCCCCACCACGCUGCAGAUCUUCAUGAAGCUGUGGCCGUUUCCAGGAGGCCACUCCGCUGGCUCUGGGUAGAUCUGCCCCUGGACUGUUUGCCGACUGCCCGGAGCGCCCUCUGCCGGUCUGCAGCUUCCCACACCACACGGAAGAAGUGGGGAAACUGAGGAUACAUUCUUUCCUCCUCCAGGUUGCCUCUGAGACAUGCCCAGAGAUGACCGAGCCCCAGGACGAUUCUCAUACCUGAUGCUUGUUUGGUGUUUCUGUGAUUAUCUGUGAGUGACAGGAUCCCAAGACCCGGCCUCCUCCGUUCCAUGAAUGCUCCAGCUCCCCUAGUCUCAUCUUAUUGCUGAUUUGAUGUGCUAAGUUUCUCCCUUAGGUGUUCCACACAAGAGCUAUAAACACUCCCACCAUUAUUAACAUCAAAGAAAGCAUUAUAUACCAUUGUGAGAGUGCGGAAUUCCAUAAGUCAUUAACUGUAAGCCUCGGUUUCCUCAUUCAAGACAUGGAGAAAUAGAGCCGGGCAUGGUGGUUCAUACAUGUAAUCCCAACACUUUGGGAGGUCAAGGUGGUAGGAUCGCUUCAGGCCAGGAGUUCAAGACCAGC
rnacentral:lncRNA from 10 species